AUACGGAGGGUGCAAGCGUUGUUCGGAAUUAUUGGGCGUAAAGCGCGUGUAGGCGGUCUUUUAAGUCUGAUGUGAAAGCCCCGGGCUCAACCUGGGAAGUGCAUUGGAAACUGGGAGACUUGAGUACGGGAGAGGAGAGUGGAAUUCCUAGUGUAAGAGUGAAAUCCGUAGAUAUUAGGAGGAACACCGGUGGCGAAGGCGGCUCUCUGGACCGAUACUGACGCUGAGACGACGAAAGCGUGGGUAGC
rnacentral:rRNA from 1 species